CAACCUGGUGUCGCAAGGCGCUGGGUGCUGGGUGCGGCGCUGGGCACCCGUUGUUUUGAUAACAGCCCUGGGAAGGGGACGGGUUUGCAGUUACUGUCCCCAAAGGAGACUUGGGGACACGGAAUUCCAUAGAAAGUGAGGACUUUAGCCAGAGCUGGGUGUAGACUAGACACUCAGACCUCAGGGUGACGGAGCCCCAACCACCGCACCCAGCGGCCCUUCCCGGGACAGGCCCCUCCUCCGGCCGCCUCCCAGGGCUCAGGAAUGGUGCACCCGGAAACUCACCGGACCUGCCCCGCCUGAAGCAGGGUGCCAGGGCGCCGCGUGCCCCCAAAGUCAGUCCUGGCCAGUGCCCAGGUGAGCCCCCUCCCCCGGGGGAAGGCUGCUGGGCCCAGGCCUUAGCUUCUCGCUUCUCCCACCUCCCACCUCCCUGCUCCUCCCACCCCACUCCCACGGCUGUCCUGUCUGGAGAAGGGGUGUGGGGAGGCCCGUGGAGCUGGGCGUGGGAGGGUCUGGCUGAAGGACCAUCUGUGCCCUCCACCCGUUUCCGGGCUGAGGGUGGAACCCCUCCCAUCCUCUGCUGUGAAGGGGAAGGGGCUGGGAUUGCGUGGGGGCCUGGACACCCCCAAGCAGGACCCUGUCUGGGCACAGUCCCCGCCGGACCUGCUCUGCCUGGGCACCGCCCCCCUCACCCCAGGAAGCGCC